GGACCCUAGUCUGACUGAGCUGGUGAUCACCUUAAUAAUUAAAGGCUCCCCUGAACUCUGCUCAGUCUCUCCCAUCUCUGAUUUGUCCCAUAACAUUUUCUGGGGACUCCUCCAGGAUUGGAGAUGGCAGGUUUUUGUUUCCUUUGCCUGUGGGCUUGAGCCCCAGGAUGUGGGAGAUUUGGGACCCAUGGCGCCACUGGGUGAAGUUACCCAGAAGGAGAACAGCUCUCCCAUGUCCUUGGAGCCUUCCCUUGACAGCACAAAUAGAACCAACUCGGGAGUUGCAGGACAGUCACAGGAGCAGCGCACAGGCUGACUACUGAACCACGAGCUCCAGAAAAGUUGAAAGGAUGAACCAAACACUGAAACAACUGCUGCAGAAGUUUUGCCAAGAAACUCAUUUAAGUUGCAGGUAUCACAACUUGGAUUCAUCAUAGCCAGCUGAAACCUGCAGCCCCUGCCCCAGACAGGUGGACAAGUCAGCAAGAUCCAGAUAAUCCAACUCAACUGGUCUUGCGGAAAGACCAAGGUGCAUCAGAGAAUGACGACUGCCCUGCUCUGACCACACUGGAGGCUGGUCGGUCCACACACAGCUGAAGCUUGAGGAAACACCAAACCUUGUCCUAGUCACACAACCGGAAGCUGACUAACCUACGCGUGGCUGAAGCUUAAGGAAGCCGGUGCCAGAUAAGUAAACGUGGAUAGAAUUUGUCAGUGUAGUUAUUCUUUUGCUUGUACUAAUUGUCUUACUGUCAUGAUACCUUUGCAAUUGCUGUCGAACUUGCUGCCCAGAAGGAUGCCCAUGCAUAGUCUAAAACUGAUUAUACUAAUAGUGAAAAUGCUAACAGCUGUCCAAAAAGACCAAGAUAGUUGCCAUCACUGCAUGAUGGAAGCCUGGUCUGGAAAAAGGCAUAACUAAAACUCUGAUAUACCAGACCUACUAAGAGUGUAGGGGGACUCAGGCAGGAACUUGUGUUUACACAAACCAGCUACUCUGUUUGUGACCUGGGAAAUGGGCAACCUCAAAUCUGUUAUGAUCUGGAAUUGCUGCCCUAUGAUUUCUGGUUUGAAAUCCAAAUAGGGGAACCCUUGUUGCUGUCAUAUACAAAUCCAAUAGACACUGGAGUAGGGAAGCUUGUAACCAAAACAAAGAUAUUUCCAUUUUCACACAUAGGGCCUGUCUCAAUAUAUUUUGAUGCCUACCAGGCUGCACAACUUAGCAAGUUGAAUAAUCUAGGAGUGGUCUGUAGGGAUCUAGGCCAGGAAAGAAUCAGUAGCAAAGCUGCUAAGAUCAUAACGGGAGAAACAGAAAAGGAUUGCCUUGACUGUCAUAGUCAAUGGACUACCCAUUGACUACCUAAAGCCAGGAAGAGUGGCUUUGUUGGCCUGCCUGAAAGCAAAAAUUGGGUGUACAACCUGAACAUGCAACCCCCUCAAUCUGACUAUACUAAAACCAAAUAUGCCUUUCUGGACUAAAGGACUAAUAGGCUUUGACUGGAAAGGAGCAAAGCGAGGAGUUCCAAUUGUAAUUAUUACAAAAACUCAAUGAGCUAAAGUUCAAGUUAGCCCAAUGCAGCAAUUCAGGUUUUAUAAAUCCCUUAAUAAGCAUUUUGACCCCAAAGAAUCAAGGAUUCAAAUUCCACCAAUAACAGCAGAAAACCUGUUUGUUCAACUAACUGAAAGUAUUGCUACUAAUCUUGGGAUCACAUCAUGUUAAGUUUGUGGGGGUACAAAUAUGGGAGAUCAAUGGCCCUGGGAGGCCAGAGAAUUAAUGCCACAAGAUAAUUUUACUAUAUCAGAAUUUGUUACAAAAUUCAAAGCCAACCAGAGUGUUUGGCUAUUAAAAACCCCUAUCAUUGAGAGAUAUUGCAUAGCACGACGGGGAAAAAACUUUCAAACUCAGGUAAGGGAUACAACUUGUCUAGGUCAGCAAUAUUUCAAGGAGUCAGAAAAUAAAACUGAGUGGAGGAGUUACACAGAUAAUUCCUCCAUGCCAGAUUUCAACCCCCUCUCCCAAUUUCCUCUGUUAAAUCAGUCAUGGUAUCAACUGGACAUUCCAAAUAUUUGGAAGGCACCAGCAGGACUAUACUGGAUCUGUGGGACAAAGGCCUACCAACUGUUGCCUGAAAAUUGGACUAGAGCCUGUGUAUUAGGAACAAUAAGACCAUCUUUCUUCUUACUCCCAUUAACCCAAGGAGAAGAUUUAAGAAAAGACAUUGAAAUAGGAAAUUGGAAAGACAAUGAAUGGCCUCCUGAGAGGAUCAUAAAAUAUUAUGGACCAGCUACAUGGGCCCAAGAUGGGUCACGGGGUUACCAUACUCGUAUAUACAUGCUAAACUGAAUUAUAAGAUUACAAGAGGUACUAGAAAUUAUAAUCAAUGAGACAGCUCGAGCCCUGGAUUUGCUAGCUAUACAAGCUACCCAAAUGAGGGAUGCCAUAUACCAAAAUAGGCUAGGUUAGACUAUCUCCUAGCCUCCGAAGGAGGAGUUUGUGGCAAACUAAAUCUGACCAACUGUUGUUUACAAAUUGAUGACAGUGGAAGAGCUAUUAUGGAAAUUACUGCUAAGAUGCAAAAACUAGCCCAUGUCCCAGUGCAGACCUGGUUUGGAUGGAGCCUGAAUACACUUUUUGGAGGAUGGUUCUCAUAGCUUGGAGGCUUUAAAACUCUAAUAAUUGGUUUUAUAGUCAUAAUUGGAGGAUGCCUAACACUGCCUUGUCUUUUACCUCUUCUCAUCAGAAGCAUCCAGUCCACUAUUGAAGCAGUAGUAGACUGAACGACUACCACCAAACUAACAGCACUGAAAAAAUACCAAUCAGUCCCUCAAGAAGAAUAUGAGCCUACACCAGAAGAGAUAAACGAUUGUGGUGCUCUUUAUUAAUCUGCAUUUAUGGCAAGCACCAAAGGAGAGAGGAAUGAAGGGGGAAUUAAUAAAUUUUAUAAGUAUAAUGGUCAAAAUUUUUCUUUUUCUUGAAGGUAGAAUGUAAUACAGCCCCCUUCCCCCCACCCAGGGGAGGCGGGCCGGGUUAAGAGAGAAUAUUAACUGCUUAUCCCUCCUCUAUGACCAGAGAGGCUUAUCUGUGUUCCAUCAUUUUACAUUCCUUGAGGCACUGCGAGUUCUUGCUUCCCUCCCUAGCAUGGCUGUAAAGUCACAAGGUUGAUAAGCAAUUGCUACAAAAGCAUGUAUUACCAAGGAUGUAAGACAAAUGGUAUAACAAAUGUAAAAGAGUAAUUAACUGCCUUUGUUCUCGCUUCUGCAAGUGUGCUCCCUGCAGCACGUAACUGUCACCACAAACUGCUUAAAAGGUGAUUCAUCCCUUUGUUCGGGGCUCAGACUUUCUGGACCCUAGUCUGACUGAGUCAGUGAUCACCUUAAUAAUUAAAGGCUCUCCUGAACUCUGCUCAGUCUCUCCCGUCUCUGAUUUGUCCCACAACAACUGUACUCCACAAAAAGUUAGGAAAAAAACAAACUAAAUAAAGGCUAGCAGAAAGAAAAAUAAUAAUAAUUAGAGCAGAGAUUAGAAAAUUAGCCAACUCUUAGCCAGAUGAAAUAAGAAAAAGACAUAGAAGACUCAAAUGACUAAACUCAGAAAUGAGGGAUGGGGCAUUAAAACCAAUGCCACCAAAUUAAUAAUAUAGAAUGCUACGAACAAUUAUACACAACAAGUUAGAAAAUGUGUAAAAUCCUAGAAACACAUAAGCUACCAAGACUAUUUGUUAGCUCUGGACAAGGAACAACCCACAGAGCAUUUCUACAUAUGCACUCUGAAGAGAAAAUUUACCUAUUACCUUUGACUGGAGCUGUAUAUUAACUUUGAGAAGAGCUGUAUACUAACAUUGGAAUAUAAUUGUUCUGAGUGGCUACUUCAAAUUUCUGGAACAAGUUUCUAUGCCACAUACUUUGCAUUUAUUGACAUGAACAACAAACCUUGGCCUUGGUUCUGUAUAACAUCUUCCUGGAGUCUAGCUGGAGGGGAGGUCCCUUGCACUGGUUUCAGACAGGUCAGGAGGAGUCACAGCCCUAAAGCAGUCCUGGACAGACUCCUAGAUCGAUAAAGCCAGGCAAGCUCCUUCUCAAUGGGGUUUAGCACAGGCUUAAGGCUUUUCCCCUGGGAGCUCAGAUGCCACCCUCUGAGGUUGCCUGUCCUGCCAUCCAGCAUUCUGGGCCUCUGAGCACCUUGGGUGGAAUACCCUAGGGGAAAGAGCCCCACUCAAAGCAGUCUGAGCCUGGGGAAUGGUAGAAAGGACCUAGACCAGCACAGGGCUCUGGUAUUCUCCAAAUUUGAAGAUACUUCCCAUGUUUCAGCAUGGCAAAUCAAUACUAAAGGGUCCUUUGAGCCCCACAAUCUAAUUCUACUCCCAAAUUUGCCAGGUCACUUAUCUGGGCACUAAAAUUACUUUAAAAUCAAUGAUACAGAUAGAAUACUCAUUCAAACCAAAGUUCUGAAUUUAAAGCAAACAAAACAUAAAUCACUUGAAAACAGAGGUCUUCCUCUCCCCAUCCCAGCCAACCCUUCACAGCUCUGUGCUUGAGCAGAGCCUCUUCCACUUCUCCAACCUGGCUGACUUUGGCUUCCAUUUUUAGCGGGAGAAGUGCCACCAACAGCAUGUGUACCCACAAGUGAGCUACAACUGCUUCUAGUAUUUAUUUCCAAUGUCCCAUGUUUAUACCUUUUC